GGUUAAGUGAAUAAGGGCGCACGGUGGAUGCCUUGGCACUAGGAGCCGAUGAAGGACGGGACUAACACCGAUAUGCUUUGGGGAGCUGUACGUAAGCUAUGAUCCAGAGAUUUCCGAAUGGGGGAACCCAGCAUCUUUAAUAGGAUGUUACGAUUGUGUGAAUACAUAGCACAUUCGAGGUAGACGCAGAGAACUGAAACAUCUAAGUACCUGCAGGAAGAGAAAGAAAAUUCGAUUCCCUGAGUAGCGGCGAGCGAAACGGGAAAAGCCCAAACCAGCAAGCUUGCUUGUUGGGGUUGUAGGACUCCGAUAUGGUAGUUCUUUCAGAUAGUUGAAUGACUUGGAAAAGUCAGUCAAAGAGGGUAAAAACCCCGUAGACGAAAUGUGGAAGACACCUAGGAGGAUCCUGAGUACGGCGGAACACGAGAAAUUCCGUCGGAAUCCGGGAGGACCAUCUCCCAAGGCUAAAUACUCCCUAGUGACCGAUAGUGAACCAGUACCGUGAGGGAAAGGUGAAAAGCACCCCGGAAGGGGAGUGAAAUAGAACCUGAAACCGUGUGCCUACAACAAGUCAAAGCCCGUUAAUGGGUGAUGGCGUGCCUUUUGUAGAAUGAACCGGCGAGUUACGAUUGCAUGCGAGGUUAAGUUGAAGAGACGGAGCCGCAGCGAAAGCGAGUCUGAAUAGGGCGUUUGAGUAUGUAGUCGUAGACCCGAAACCAUGUGAUCUACCCAUGUCCAGGUUGAAGGUGCGGUAAAACGCACUGGAGGACCGAACCCACGUACGUUGAAAAGUGCGGGGAUGAGGUGUGGGUAGCGGAGAAAUUCCAAACGAACUUGGAGAUAGCUGGUUCUCUCCGAAAUAGCUUUAGGGCUAGCCUCGGAAUUGAGAAUGAUGGAGGUAGAGCACUGUUUGGACUAGGGGCCCAUCUCGGGUUACCGAAUUCAGAUAAACUCCGAAUGCCAUUCAUUCAUAUCCGGGAGUCAGACUGUGAGUGAUAAGAUCCAUAGUCGAAAGGGAAACAGCCCAGACCACCAGCUAAGGUCCCAAAAUAUAUGUUAAGUGGAAAAGGAUGUGGGGUUGCACAGACAACUAGGAUGUUGGCUUAGAAGCAGCCACCAUUUAAAGAGUGCGUAAUAGCUCACUAGUCGAGUGACCCUGCGCCGAAAAUGUACCGGGGCUAAACAUAUUACCGAAGCUGUGGAGUACACCUUUAGGUGUAUUGGUAGGAGAGCGUUCUAAGGGCGUUGAAGGCAGAUCGUGAGGACUGCUGGAGCGCUUAGAAGUGAGAAUGCCGGUAUGAGUAGCGAAAGACAGGUGAGAAUCCUGUCCACCGAAUGACUAAGGUUUCCUGGGGAAGGCUCGUCCGCCCAGGGUUAGUCGGGACCUAAGCCGAGGCCGACAGGCGUAGGCGAUGGAUAACAGGUUGAUAUUCCUGUACCCGUUGUUUUUGUUUGAGCAAUGGAGGGACGCAGGAGGCUAAGGAAUGCAGACGAUCGGAAAUGUCUGUCCAAGCAGUAAGUCUGAAGAGGAGUCAAAUGCUUCUUUUCUUAAGGACAAGCUGUGAUGGGGAGGGAAAUAAUAGUACCGAAGUUCCUGAUGUCACACUGCCGAGAAAAGCUUCUAGUGAGAAAACAGCGGCCCGUACCGCAAACCGACACAGGUAGUCGAGGAGAGAAUCCUAAGGUGAGCGAGAGAACUCUCGUUAAGGAACUCGGCAAAAUGACCCCGUAACUUCGGGAGAAGGGGUGCUGAUCAUACGAUCAGCCGCAGUGAAUAGGCCCAAGCGACUGUUUAUCAAAAACACAGGUCUCUGCAAAAUCGUAAGAUGAAGUAUAGGGGCUGACGCCUGCCCGGUGCUGGAAGGUUAAGAGGAGUGCUUAGCGCAAGCGAAGGUACGAAUUGAAGCCCCAGUAAACGGCGGCCGUAACUAUAACGGUCCUAAGGUAGCGAAAUUCCUUGUCGGGUAAGUUCCGACCCGCACGAAAGGCGUAACGAUUUGGGCACUGUCUCAACGAGAGACUCGGUGAAAUUUUAGUACCUGUGAAGAUGCAGGUUACCCGCGACAGGACGGAAAGACCCCAUGGAGCUUUACUGUAGUUUGAUAUUGAGUGUCUGUACCGCAUGUACAGGAUAGGUAGGAGCCGUAGAAAUCGGAACGCUAGUUUCGAUGGAGGCGCUGGUGGGAUACUACCCCUGCGUUAUGGC
rnacentral:rRNA from 1 species